UACGGAGGGGGCUAGCGUUGUUCGGAAUUACUGGGCGUAAAGCGCGCGUAGGCGGACCUGCAAGUCGGGGGUGAAAGCCCGAGGCUCAACCUCGGAACUGCCUUCGAUACUGGCGAUCUUGAGUCCGGGAGAGGUGAGUGGAACUCCGAGUGUAGAGGUGAAAUUCGUAGAUAUUCGGAAGAACACCAGUGGCGAAGGCGGCUCACUGGCCCGGUACUGACGCUGAGGUGCGAAAGCGUGGGGAGCAAACAGG
rnacentral:rRNA from 1 species